AACGCACAUUGCGCCCCUUGGUAUUCCGAGGGGCAUGCCUGUCCGAGCGUCAGUUCAACAAUCAAGCAACGCUUGGUGUUGGGCCCGCGGCCACCCCCCAGCGGGGUGGCCCGCCCGAAACGCAUCGGCGAGGAGACCGACCCCCGGCGUCUUGAGAAUCUCACGGUUCGCACGUCGGGAGCACCGGUGGCCUCCGCCGCAACCAACGAAUCUUUUCAAUGGUUGACCUCGGAUCAGGUAGGGAUACCCGCUGAACUUAA
rnacentral:misc_RNA from 1 species